UACGAAGGGGGCUAGCGUUGUUCGGAAUUACUGGGCGUAAAGCGCGCGCAGGCGGCUAUCCAAGUCAGUGGUGAAAGCCCGGAGCUCAACUCCGGAACUGCCAUUGAAACUGUUUAGCUUGAGGAUGAGAGAGGUGAGUGGAAUUCCCAGUGUAGAGGUGAAAUUCGUAGAUAUUGGGAAGAACACCGGUGGCGAAGGCGGCUCACUGGCUCAUUACUGACGCUGAGGCGCGACAGCGUGGGGAGCAAACAGG
rnacentral:rRNA from 1 species